CAAUAGCGUAUAUUUAAGUUGUUGCAGUUAAAAAGCUCGUAGUUGGAUUUUGGGUCGGGGGCACCGGUCCGCCGUUCCGGUGUGCACUGGUGGCCCCUUCCUUUCUGCCGGGGACGUGCGUCGCACUUAAUUGGGUGGCGUUCGGAGUCGGCGUUGUUACUUUGAAAAAAUUAGAGUGUUCAAAGCAAGCCAUCGCUCUGAAUACAUUAGCAUGGAAUAACAUGAUAGGACUCCGGUCUUAUUUUGUUGGUUUCCGAGACUGGAGUAAUGAUUAAGAGGGACAGUCGGGGGCAUCCGUAUUUCAUUGUCAGAGGUGAAAUUCAUGGAUUUAUGAAAGACGAACUUCUGCGAAAGCAUUUGCCAAGGAUGUUUUCAUUAA
rnacentral:rRNA from 1 species